CCUACGGGAGGCAGCAGUGAGGAAUAUUGGUCAAUGGACGAGAGUCUGAACCAGCCAAGUAGCGUGAAGGAUGACUGCCCUAUGGGUUGUAAACUUCUUUUAUAAAGGAAUAAAACGAGGCACGUGUGCCUUUUUGCAUGUACUUUAUGAAUAAGGAUCGGCUAACUCCGUGCCAGCAGCCGCGGUAAUACGGAGGAUCCGAGCGUUAUCCGGAUGUAUUGGGUUUAAAGGGAGCGUAGAUGGGUUGUUAAGUCAGUUGUGAAAGUUUGCGGCUCAACCGUAAAAUUGCAAUUGAUACUGGCAGUCUUGAGUACGGUUGAGGUAGGCGGAAUGCGUGGUGUAGCGGUGAAAUGCUUAGAUAUCACGAAGAACCCCGAUUGCGAAGGCAGCUUACUAAAGUGUGACUGACAUUGAUGCUCGAAAGUGUGGGUAUCAAACAGGAUUAGAUACCCUGGUAGUC
rnacentral:rRNA from 1 species